AAUUUUAUUUUUGUUAAGAAUUGUUGUCCUAAGAUCAAAGUCCAUAAAGAACUCCAUGGAACAUUUCUGAUUAUUAUUUUUUAUUAUUUUUGAAAUUUUAUUUGUGUUAAGAAUUGUUGGAAGAGUUCCAGGAGAAAGUUUACUAGUGGAAACGAAAUAUUCAACCUAUCAUUUGUAUUGCUUCGAAAACACGCGAUGUGAUGAUGCUUCCAAAAGUUGAAUUUUCGUUAGCAUUUGUUUUGUAUGCCUAGUUCUUCUGGUUCAUUUGAAACCAACUCCAGACCACUGUAAAUAUGGUUAUAUAAUCAAACAAAUGGUGAUUGUUUUAAAUAAUUUUAUCUGAAACUGUCUAAAACGUUGUACUUACUACAGUAAAAAAUAUACAAUGUCGGUCUCAUAAAUUGAAAAAAAUAUGAUGUGCUAUGUGAAAAAAAAUCCAUGUAUAAUAUAUUGAACAAAUCCUGGCAAUACUGGAGUAGCAGAAAUGUAUCUAUGUUUGGCGAAUAACGAGUUUAUUCAGAGAACGGAAGGAAUUCUUACACGUGAGUUUUAUUUUCUUUUCACUAUUUAUAUUUGUAUUAAGAUUGUUUCUUUUGCAGACUCUGGAUAAAAUCAUAAUCAUCAAUUUGAGAGGAGGAUUCCACAAAAAACUGGGGUGUAAAUGUAGCAAUGCACGACUCUUUAGUUCUGUGCCAACAAAUUUAAUCCCUGAUAACGUAACAUGGUCCGAGCGAGUUCCUGGAAAUCCUGAUGGAGUCAUACGAUAAAGAUGCGGUUAUUUGAGCAUAGGGUGACCGUGCCUGUCUUGGAAUAUCUUCGUAUGGAGUUUAUAAUGAAGUGCUAAAAUAGCAUUGUCACAUAUUCGGUGACGAAAUUUGAAUUACAUAAAAAAAAACUAUUCGCAUUGAAAUAAAAUGUUGGCUAACGAUUUUUUAGAUAAUAAUAUUUAGUUGUUUUCAGAAGAUAUCUGCACUCACUUUCCAUAUGUUUUUAUUGUUAGAUAAUUGACUUGAGAAAAAUAUUGUAAAACAACAAUAGAGUACAAAUGCUAAAAUAAAAAAAAUAAAAAAAUGCUAAAAUGUAA